UCCCACUGGAAUGACAAAUUCUAUCCUCUUCCUUGGUUCCUAGUUCAACUUUGCUUGUUUUUUCUCUUUUUCCCACAAAUUCUCUGUGCAGUUAUCAUAGUUUAUUUGCCAGAUAUGAAAUCCAUUCAAGGGUUUUCAAGGGUAUAAGGGACCAUUAGACUGCUGUACUUGACCAAAGGGAUGUGGCUUUUAGAAGCAGUAAUUUGAAGACCAUCUCCCCCUCCAUCCUUCCUAGGAUAAGUAUUUAUGGGUUUAAGACCAACUCCAAGGAACAAGGUCAAAUACAUAAAAGACUGCAAGGAGACGGAGGGAAGCAGCCUUGUGUCAUUAGAUAAUGAUUAGCUGCUUGUCUCUUGGAAAGGGGGUAUGACUGUACCAAGACAUCAGUUACACGGACUCAGCCCUCUGCCUGGUCUCACUCCUUGGAUGUGGCUGUGCAAAUGGACUCUGUCUCCUGAAGAGAACUCAGACAACCAGCUGUGAUGGUCAGCAACCCAAGUUUAGCACGCAACUUUGCAGACCCGAUGGAACUUCUAAGGACUGUGCACACAGAAGCUUUGUGUUACACUCAGUUUCGAAGUAAGAAGAUACAUCUACUCCUUCGCAGUGGGAAAGAAGACCAAGCUUCAAGUCAUGAAAAUACCCUCUAAUGCCGCAUCACUACAAACUUCUGCAGUAAGCAUUCAGCCAGCUGCAAAAUAGAACACACUGAGAGGUUCAGCUACUUUCAGGUCCUGAGUGUACCUUUGCUACUCUGCUUUGAUCAGUCCUGCCUGAGAAAUUCUGGACACAUAAUGAUAGAAUGCAAGCCAUGGAAGGUCCCUCAUCGGUUUGUCAUCAAUGAAAAAAAAGACAUUUCUCUAGUUCUUUCAAAGGACAUCUCUUUUUGAAAGGGUGCAGUUUUAUUUUCCUGCCAUGGACAUCACUUCUGCUGCCUAAUACGUACAUGGGGAUGGAAGUCCUCCACCUCUUUCUGUCUCCCAUGGACCUCUUAAGAAUUAUCUCAUCUAAAUAGCAGCCCUGUUAUUUUUAUGACCUCUAAGGAGAAGUUCUCAGAAAUCUUAAGGGUCUACAAUGAUGUAAAUUUCAAAGGAGUAAUUAUUAUAAGAGAGGGUUGAAAAAGUCAUCACUUUAAUUCCAGAUCUUAUUAAACUCCAGGUUUUUUUUACUUGAAAGAAUGGUGAAGCCUGUAUCUCUGUACAAUUCUUUGAAUCCUUCAAGAAUGAACAUUGCUAAAACAAUAAAUCGGCCUGAAACAACUUUGAGUUUAGAACUUGAAAGUAACAUAUAAGUUCAAAGUACUUCUUUUCUUUUGUCAAAGCAGCAAUUAGAUUUCCAGAAAAGAGAAAAUGAAGAAUGAUUAUAAUAUUUUAGAUGUCAUAACCAAGCCUGACAUAAAAAUAAAUAAAUAAAUAAAUAAAUAAA